rnacentral:rRNA from 1 species
UACGUAGGGGGCGAGCGUUGUCCGGAGUUACUGGGCGUAAAGGGCGUGCAGGCGGUGCGGUAAGUUUAGCGUGACAGUCUCCGGCUUAACUGGAGAAGGCCGCUGAAAACUGCUGGACUUGAGGGCCAGAGAGGGACAUAGAAUUCCGGGUGGAGUGGUGAAAUGCGUAGAGAUCCGGAGGAACACCAAAGGCGAAGGCAGUGUCCUGGGGAGUACCUGACGCUCAGGUGCGAAAGCCAGGGGAGCGAACGGG